GAUGAACGCUAGCGACAGGCUUAACACAUGCAAGUCGAGGGGCAGCAUAAAAGUAGCAAUACUUUGGUGGCGACCGGCGCACGGGUGAGUAACGCGUAUGCAACCUACCUAUCAGAGGGGAAUAACCCGGCGAAAGUCGGCCUAAUACCGCAUAAAACAGGGGCACCGCAUGGUGCUAUUUGUUAAAGAUUUAUUGCUGAUAGAUGGGCAUGCGUUCCAUUAGGUAGUUGGUGAGGUAACGGCUCACCAAGCCGACGAUGGAUAGGGGAACUGAGAGGUUGGUCCCCCACACUGGUACUGAGACACGGACCAGACUCCUACGGGAGGCAGCAGUGAGGAAUAUUGGUCAAUGGGCGAGAGCCUGAACCAGCCAAGUCGCGUGAAGGAAGAAGGAUCUAUGGUUCGUAAACUUCUUCUGCAGGGGAAUAAAGUGGAGGACGUGUCCUUUUUUGUAUGUACCCUGAGAAUAAGGAUCGGCUAACUCCGUGCCAGCCGCCGCAGUAACAC
rnacentral:rRNA from 1 species